GCUGGGUGUGAUGAUGCAUGCCUGUCAUCCCAGCAGCUCAGGAGGCUGAGGCAGGAGGAUCGCAAGUUCAAAGCCAGCCUCAGCAAUUUACCAAGGCCCUAAGCAACUCAGUGAGACCCUGUCUCUA
rnacentral:sRNA from 1 species